ACGGCCACCCACAGCAUCCUCAUUGAGGGCAAGGUGACCGUGAGCAGCGACGUCACCUUCAAUGACGACCGCCACAGCCCGGUUCACAAUGGGCGGGCACCCCCUUCGGCACUAGCCCCGCCUGCCCCGGCGGCAGCGACCCCAUCGGCAGCUCUACACCGCCCACCAAGCUGCCGACCCCAGCGGCCACCCCACCCCCGG
rnacentral:lncRNA from 1 species